ensembl:lncRNA
GCUCCAAUGUGGAACUAUUCAAAGAUGUCCUGUUUAUCAUUUCACAUUGUAUAAAAAUAAAUGAUCACAAAGUUCAACUUUUAUUUUAUGUAUUAUGAAUGCUAAUGUGGUUUUGUUGUGAUGACUGGUGUUGUAUGAGAGGCUUUUAUAUUGCAUAUCGCUGAUACACUGGGGUAUUAACAGCUGUUAUCAACUCAAACUAACCCUGAACAUCUGUCUGAAUCCCAGAUGGCACCCUUUUGACUCUCUAGAUCAUGAUAUUUCAUCAGAGCCUUGGUCAACAAGUGGAUUAUAUUGGGCAAUGUUUCCCAAUCCUGGUCCUGGGGACCCCAAGGUGCAGGUGUUUGUUUUUGCCCUAGCACUCACUCACCUGAUUCAGAUUAAAGACUUGAUGAUAGGAUAAUUAUGUCAAUCAGGUGUGUGAGUGGUAGGGUAACAUUUGAAUCAGGUGUGUGAGUGGUAGGGUAACAUGUGAAUCAGGUGUGUGAGUGGUAGGGUAACAUUUGAAUCAGGUGUGUGAGUGGUAGGGUAACAUUUGAAUCAGGUGUGUGAGUGGUAGGGUAACAUUUGAAUCAGGUGUGUGAGUGGUAGGGUAACAUUUGAAUCAGGUGUGUGAGUGGUAGGGUAAAAUUUGAAUCAGGUGUGUGAGUGGUAGGGCAACAUUUGAAUCAGGUGUGUGAGUGGUAGAGUAACAUUUGAAUCAGGUGGGAAAAAACUCCUUGGGGACUCCAGGACUGGGACUGGUUAACAUUGAUGUAGGCUGUGAGGUGCCAUUUGCAAAAUAACCUUUGAUUCUAUUAUUAUUAUUAUAAUUAUUAUAGAUUACAGUUUGAUAUUAAAUUUUUCUGCUGUCACAGAAGAGACUAAGCUAAUAAAUGUGUAACUUGUGUACAACGUAAUGUGUUAUUUCUCUUCAAAUAAAUGCCACAGAAAAAUAAAAUGAAUCAGAAAACGUA